UCACAAGAGAAGGAGAAAUCAGCUGAGAGCGACGCACGUAAUAUUAUUUUGUAAACAUGGAAGGACCACCAGCCAAGAUGAGACGGCCUAAUUUCAGUGAGGCUGAAGUAUACGCUCUUGUGACUGAGGUAGCCAAACGAAAAGAAAUGAUUUUAGGGAAGUUGGACUCAAGUAGUUGUACACUUCAACUCAAAAACCAGCCUGGGGUGAAGUGUUAAAUGCUGUGAAUGCUGUUGGUAGAGUCACCCGCAAUGUUACUGAAAUUCGGUGGAAGUCUGAUCUUCGUGUUAGCGUUAAGAAAAAAGCAGCACAAGAUAAGAAAUAUGCUGGUGGAACAGGUGGCGGCCCCCAAAUUGAAAUUACAUACACUGCAAUUGAAGAAGCAAUUCUUCAACUAUUAGAUCCAGCCUCUAUACAAGGAUUCCAGGGGAUGUUGAAAGUGAAGAACCUAUUAAUGAAGAAGAAAGAGAACCAACCCCCGGACCCUCAGGAGCUAGGUUUACAGCUACCGGUAGUUGUUUCCGAGAGGAAUUUAUGUUUCGGCCCGUUCAAGAGAAAGAUGAUUCUAUAACCCUCAUUCUGAAUGAGGAUAUACAGGAACAUGAUAUCACAGUACCCAUUGUGCAUUUAGAACCUGAAACUUCAGCACCUACAAACAUUCCUGGAAUUUCAUCAUCCGGAACAUAUGAGGUAGAAACAUGUAGUUCAAGCAAUACUCGUCAACCUAUUGCUGCUACCACGGAACAGCGAAGUAGGUCUAGUACCCCUUCUGCCACAGCUGUUAGGUCAACUGUAACUGGUGAUUCCACUGAUGAAAUGGGUUCAUCUCCAAUGCCAAGUACGAUCAGAAGUGGCAGGAGGCCACGAACCUCUUCUGCCCGAAAAGAUGAAGAUCUUCUUCGAGAGAUGCUUCGUGUUCAAACACAAAUGAGGGACAGUUUUUUACAGCUUGUAGCAAACACCGAGUGCAUUGCAUCUGCAAUGCUAUGCAUUGCAAGAGUUAUGCAGUCGAAAAAUCCUAUCCAAUGAUGCUGUGUUUAUGGUAUGUGUAUAUGUAGUUGUU